ACUCCUACGGGAGGCAGCAGUGGGGAAUAUUGCACAAUGGGCGCAAGCCUGAUGCAGCGACGCCGCGUGGGGGAUGACGGCCUUCGGGUUGUAAACCUCUUUCACCAUCGACGAAGGACCGCUUUUGGUGGGUUGACGGUAGGUGGAGAAGAAGCACCGGCCAACUACGUGCCAGCAGCCGCGGUAAUACGUAGGGUGCGAGCGUUGUCCGGAAUUACUGGGCGUAAAGAGCUCGUAGGUGGUUUGUCGCGUUGUUCGUGAAACCUCCAGGCUCAACCUGGAGUCGCCAUUCGAUACUGCCAUGGCUAGAGUUUGGUAGGGGACCACGGAAUUCCUGGUGUAGCGGUGAAAUGCGCAGAUAUCAGGAGGAACACCAGCGGCGAAGGCGGUGGUCUGGGCCAAUACUGACGCUGAGGAGA
rnacentral:rRNA from 1 species